CAUUUUACUAUUUAAAAUGCCUGAUUUCUGAAGCUAAGCAGAGUUAGACCUGGUUAGUACUGGGAUGGGAGACCGCGGGGAAUACCAGGAGCUACGAUGA
rnacentral:rRNA from 1 species